rnacentral:rRNA from 1 species
UGGGGAAUUUUGGACAAUGGGGGAAACCCUGAUCCAGCCAUCCCGCGUGUGCGAUGAAGGCCUUCGGGUUGUAAAGCACUUUUGGCAGGAAAGAAACGUCAUGGGUUAAUACCCCGUGAAACUGACGGUACCUGCAGAAUAAGCACCGGCUAACUACGUGCCAGCAGCCGCGGUAAUACGUAGGGUGCAAGCGUUAAUCGGAAUUACUGGGCGUAAAGCGUGCGCAGGCGGUUCGGAAAGAAAGAUGUGAAAUCCCAGAGCUCAACUUUGGAACUGCAUUUUUAACUACCAGACUAGAGUGUGUCAGAGGGAGGUGGAAUUCCGAGUGUAGCAGUGAAAUGCGUAGAUAUGCGGAGGAACACCGAUGGCGAAGGCAGCCUCCUGGGAUAACACUGACGCUCAUGCACGAAAGCGUGGGGAGCAAACAGG